rnacentral:rRNA from 1 species
CUUCUAGAUCCAGUUCCUGACUGUAGGCAUUGCAAUGCAAAAAGGUUCCAGUAUGAGAAACCAACGUUUUGUUGCAUGGGUGGAAAAGUUAAAAUAGUAACUCCACCAGUCCCUGAUGAAUUACGUCGACUGUACAGCAGCCAAGAUCCAGAUGCGAAGUAUUUCCGGGAUAACAUACGUUACUUCAAUUCUCACUUCUCCUUUACAUCUCUUGGUGUUGUCUUGGAUCAACGUUUUUGCAAUAACAGAUCUAGAGUUUACACAUUCCGCGCACAAGGUCAAAUUUAUCAUCGAAUUGACCAAUUAGUGCCAAAGGAUGAUGGGCCCAAGCAUCUACAACUUUACUUUUAUGACACUGAUGCAGAUUUACAGCAAAGAUUUCGCCAUUCACCUAACCUUGAUAAAGAUCUCAUCAGAAAAUUGUUGGGCAUACUCUCAUCUAAUCCUUAUGUCCAUAUCUUUAGAAGUCUCGGCUCCAUUUCAAACCUUUGCGAGUAUAGGAUUGAGCUCAACACAAAUAUUGCUUUAGACCAGAGAGUAUAUAAUGCUCUAACACCAUCACAGGUGGCAGCAAUUUGGGUCGAGGGAAGCGAUCCUCGAGGUCAUUUUGAUAGAAGUAUCAUGAUUUAUGGUGUAUCAGACCGUCCACAAUAUAUAAAAGCAUACCAUGAUCCACCAUCAUAUCCGUUGUUUUUCCCAAACGGAGAGGUCGGAUGGAACUUGGAUCUGCCCAGAUUAAGUCGACAUGCUAGGAAAAUAAUAGACAAUUAA